rnacentral:rRNA from 1 species
GAUGAACGCUGGCGGCGUGCCUAAUACAUGCAAGUCGAGCGAAUGGAUUAAGAGCUUGCUCUUAUGAAGUUAGCGGCGGACGGGUGAGUAACACGUGGGUAACCUGCCCAUAAGACUGGGAUAACUCCGGGAAACCGGGGCUAAUACCGGAUAACAUUUUGAACCGCAUGGUUCGAAAUUGAAAGGCGGCUUCGGCUGUCACUUAUGGAUGGACCCGCGUCGCAUUAGCUAGUUGGUGAGGUAACGGCUCACCAAGGCAACGAUGCGUAGCCGCCCUGAGAGGGUGAUCGGCCACACUGGGACUGAGACACGGCCCAGACUCCUACGGGAGGCAGCAGUAGGGAAUCUUCCGCAAUGGACGAAAGUCUGACGGAGCAACGCCGCGUGAGUGAUGAAGGCUUUCGGGUCGUAAAACUCUGUUGUUAGGGAAGAACAAGUGCUAGUUGAGUAAGCCGGCACCUUGACGGUACCUAACCAGAAAGCCACGGCUAACUACGUGCCAGCCGCCGCGGUAA